CAGCACCUCAAGUGGUCAGGAUGAUUAUUGGGCCUAAAGCAUCCGUAGCCGGCGCUGUAAGUUUUCGGUUAAAUCUGUACGCUCAACGUACAGGCUGCCGGGAAUACUGCAGCGCUAGGGAGUGAGAGAGGUAGACGGUACUCGGUAGGAAGGGGUAAAAUCCUUUGAUCUAUUGAUGACCACCUGUGGCGAAGGCGGUCUACCAGAACACGUCCGACGGUGAGGGAUGAAAGCUGGGGGAACAAACCGGAUUAGAUACCCGCGUAGUCC
rnacentral:rRNA from 1 species